rnacentral:rRNA from 1 species
GACGAACGCUGGCGGCGUGCUUAACACAUGCAAGUCGAACGGAAAGGCCCUGCUUUUGUGGGGUGCUCGAGUGGCGAACGGGUGAGUAACACGUGAGUAACCUGCCCUUGACUUUGGGAUAACUUCAGGAAACUGGGGCUAAUACCGGAUAGGAGCUCCUGCUGCAUGGUGGGGGUUGGAAAGUUUCGGCGGUUGGGGAUGGACUCGCGGCUUAUCAGCUUGUUGGUGGGGUAGUGGCUUACCAAGGCUUUGACGGGUAGCCGGCCUGAGAGGGUGACCGGCCACAUUGGGCCUGCGAGACGGCCCAGACUCCUACGGGAGGCAGUAGUGGGGAAUAUUGCACAAUGGGCGGAAGCGUGAGGCAGCAACGCCGCGUGCGGGAUGACGGCUUUCGGGUUGUAAACCGCUUUCGCUGUGACGAAGCGUGAGUGACGGUAAUGGGUAAAGAAGCACCGGCUAACUACGUG